rnacentral:rRNA from 1 species
UAGGUUAAGAGGAGCGUCAGUCGCAAGAUGAAGCGUUGAAUUGAAGCCCGAGUAAACGGCGGCCGUAACUAUAACGGUCCUAAGGUAGCGAAAUUCCUUGUCGGUUAAAUACCGACCUGCAUGAAUGGCGUAACGAGAUGGGAGCUGUCUCAACCAGAGAUUCAGUGAAAUUGUAGUGGAGGUGAA